rnacentral:rRNA from 1 species
CAUGCAGUCGAGCGGACAGAAGGGAGCUUGCUCCCGGAUGUUAGCGGCGGACGGGUGAGUAACACGUGGGUAACCUGCCUGUAAGACUGGGAUAACUCCGGGAAACCGGAGCUAAUACCGGAUAGUUCCUUGAACCGCAUGGUUCAAGGAUGAAAGACGGUUUCGGCUGUCACUUACAGAUGGACCCGCGGCGCAUUAGCUAGUUGGUGAGGUAACGGCUCACCAAGGCGACGAUGCGUAGCCGACCUGAGAGGGUGAUCGGCCACACUGGGACUGAGACACGGCCCAGACUCCUACGGGAGGCAGCAGUAGGGAAUCUUCCGCAAUGGACGAAAGUCUGACGGAGCAACGCCGCGUGAGUGAUGAAGGUUUUCGGAUCGUAAAGCUCUGUUGUUAGGGAAGAACAAGUGCAAGAGUAACUGCUUGCACCUUGACGGUACCUAACCAGAAAGCCACGGCUAACUACGUGCCAGCAGCCGCGGUAAUACGUAGGUGGCAAGCGUUGUCCGGAAUUAUUGGGCGUAAAGGGCUCGCAGGCGGUUUCUUAAGUCUGAUGUGAAAGCCCCCGGCUCAACCGGGGAGGGUCAUUGGAAACUGGGAAACUUGAGUGCAGAAGAGGAGAGUGGAAUUCCACGUGUAGCGGUGAAAUGCGUAGAGAUGUGGAGGAACACCAGUGGCGAAGGCGACUCUCUGGUCUGUAACUGACGCUGAGGAGCGAAAGCGUGGGGAGCGAAC